GAAUAGAGGUAUUUGGAUCAAGAUGAGAUAAUGAUGCAUUUUUCCACAAAAUUUCACCAACUUCUCCCCCUAAUUUUGGGAAAAGUUGCUUUUCCGGUGUCGUGUGUGUGGUACAUGAAUGUGGUGCAUAAAUGAAUGAACAUAUAGAAGUGGAAACUAUAUUGUGCAGUAGUUACAAAGGUGCACGCAUGUAUAUUACGGACAUAUACACAGGUAAUACAGUGAAUAGAUGACAGCUAUCAUAAAACUCAAGUAGUGUAUGUAAUAUGUAAAGAAUGUGUAAAAGUUAUGUGAUGAAUAAUUUAGCACAUUAUCAUGGACGAUCACAUAAUUACAAAUUUGGAACUAAGCNNN
rnacentral:lncRNA from 1 species